UACAGAGGUGGCAAGCGUUGUUCGGAAUUCCUGGGCGUAAAGGGCGCGUAGGCGGCCUUCUUAGUCGGACGUGAAAUCCCCAGGCUUAACUUGGGAACUGCGUCCGAUACUGGGAGGCUUGAGUGCGGGAGAGGGAUGUGGAAUUCCAGGUGUAGCGGUGAAAUGCGUAGAUAUCUGGAGGAACACCGGUGGCGAAGGCGGCAUCCUGGACCGACACUGACGCUGAGGCGCGAAAGCUAGGGGAGCAAACGGG
rnacentral:rRNA from 1 species